AGAGUUUGAUCCUGGCUCAGGACGAACGCUGGCGGCGUGCCUAAUACAUGCAAGUAGAACGCUGAAAUAAGAGCUUGCUCUUAUGGAUGAGUUGCGAACGGGUGAGUAACACGUGGGGAACCUACCUUCUAGCGGGGGAUAACACAUAGAAAUGUGUGCUAAUACCGCAUAAUAGUAUUUGAUGCAUAUCAGAUACUUGAAAGGCGCAAUUGCGUCACUAGAAGAUGGCCCCGCGGUGCAUUAGCUAGUUGGUGAGGUAACGGCUCACCAAGGCAAUGAUGCAUAGCCGACCUGAGAGGGUGAUCGGCCACACUGGGACUGAGACACGGCCCAGACUCCUACGGGAGGCAGCAGUAGGGAAUCUUCGGCAAUGGACGCAAGUCUGACCGAGCAACGCCGCGUGAGUGAAGAAGGUUUUCGGAUCGUAAAACUCUGUUGUAAGAGAAGAACGUUGAUGAGAGUGGAAAGUUCAUCAAGUGACGGUAUCUUACCAGAAAGCCACGGCUAACUACGUGCCAGCAGCCGCGGUAAUACGUAGGUGGCAAGCGUUGUCCGGAUUUAUUGGGCGUAAAGCGAGCGCAGGCGGUUGAUUAAGUCUGAUGUGAAAGCCCCCGGCUCAACCGGGGAGGGUCAUUGGAAACUGGUCAACUUGAGUGCAGAAGAGGAGAGUGGAAUUCCAUGUGUAGCGGUGAAAUGCGUAGAUAUAUGGAGGAACACCAGUGGCGAAGGCGGCUCUCUGGUCUGUAACUGACGCUGAGGCUCGAAAGCGUGGGGAGCGAACAGGAUUAGAUACCCUGGUAGUCCACGUCGUAAACGAUGAGUGCUAGUGUUGGAGGGUUUCCGCCCUUCAGUGCUGCAGCUAACGCAUUAGCACUCCGCUGGGGAGUACGAACGGCAGUGAAACUCAAAGAUUGACG
rnacentral:rRNA from 1 species